ACAGAGGUCUCAAGCGUUGUUCGGAUUCAUUGGGCGUAAAGGGUGCGUAGGUGGCGGGGUAAGUCAGGUGUGAAAUCUCAGGGCUCAACCCUGAAACUGCAUUCGAUACUGCGCGGCUAGAGUGCUGGAGGGGAGACUGGAAUUUACGGUGUAGCAGUGAAAUGCGUAGAUAUCGUAAGGAAGACCAGUGGCGAAGGCGAGUCUCUGGACAGCAACUGACGCUGAGGCACGAAGGCCAGGGGAGCAAACGGGA
rnacentral:rRNA from 1 species